ACUGCUCAGUAACACGUGGACAACCUACCCUGAAGAGGGGGAUAACCCCGGGAAACUGGGGAUAAUACCCCAUAGACUAUGGAUGCUGGAAUGCUCUGUAGUUCAAAGGUCCGCCGCUUCAGGAUGGGUCUGCGGCCGAUUAGGUUGUUGUUGGGGUAACGGCCCAACAAGCCUGUAAUCGGUACGGGUUGUGGGAGCAAGAGCCCGGAGAUGGAUUCUGAGACACGAAUCCAGGCCCUACGGGGCGCAGCAGGCGCGAAAACUUUGCAAUGCGAGAAAUCGUGACAAGGGAACUCCGAGUGCCUGUAAAAUCAGGCUGUCCGCCAGUGUAAACAACUGGUGAAGAAAGGGCCGGGCAAGACCGGUGCCAGCCGCCGCGGUAAUACCGGCGGCUCGAGUGGUGGCCACUAUUACUGGGCUUAAAGCGUUCGCAGCUGGCUUGUUAAGUCUCUGGGGAAAUCUUCCGGCUUAACCGGAAGGCGUCUCAGGGAUACUGGCAGGCUAGGGACCGGAAGAGGUGAGAGGUACUCCAGGGGUAGGAGUGAAAUCCUGUAAUCCUUGGGGGACCACCUGUGGCGAAGGCGUCUCACCAGGACGGCUCCGACAGUGAGGAACGAAAGCUGGGGGAGCAAACCGGAUUAGAUACCCGGGUAGUCCCAGCUGUAAACGAUGCGCGUUAGGUGUAUCGGUGACCACGAGUCACCGAGGUGCCGAAGAGAAAUCGUGAAACGUGCCGCCUGGGAAGUACGGUCGCAAGGCUGAAACUUAAAGGAAUUGGCGGGGGAGCAC
rnacentral:rRNA from 1 species